AAUCUUCCGCAAUGGACGAACGUCUGGCGGAGCGACGCCGCGUGAGUGAUUAAGGUUUUCGGAUCGUAAAACUCCGUUGUUAGGGAAGAACAAGUAUCGACCGUAUAAGUCGGUACCUUGACGGCACCUAAUCAGAAAGCCCCGCCUAACUACGUGCCAGGAGCCGCGGUAAUACGUAGGGGGCGAGCGUUGUCCGGAAUUAUUGGGCGUAAAGGGCGCGCAGGCGGUAUUCAAAGUCGGAUGUGAAAUCUCGUAGCUUAACUACGAGCGGUCAUUGGAAACUGGGAGACUUGAGGACAGAAGAGGAGAGUGGAAUUCCACGUGUAGCGGUGAAAUGCGUAGAGAUGUGGAGGAACACCAGUGGCGAAGGCGACUCUCUGGUCUGUAACUGACGCUGAGGCGAGAAAGCGUGGGGAGCGAACA
rnacentral:rRNA from 1 species